UGCGUAGGCGGAGCGUUAAGUCAGUGGUGAAAUCCUGCAGCUCAACUGUAGAAUUGCCAUUGAUACUGGCACUCUUGAGUGCGCUUGAAGUAGGCGGAAUGUGCCGUGUAGCGGUGAAAUGCUUAGAUAUGGCACAGGACACCAAUUGCGAAGGCAGCUUACUAAGGCGAUACUGACGCUGAGGCACGAAAGCGUGGGGAUCGAACA
rnacentral:rRNA from 1 species